rnacentral:rRNA from 1 species
AUUGAACGCUGGCGGCAUGCCUUACACAUGCAAGUCGAACGGUAACAGGUCUUCGGAUGCUGACGAGUGGCGAACGGGUGAGUAAUACAUCGGAACGUGCCCGAUCGUGGGGGAUAACGGAGCGAAAGCUUUGCUAAUACCGCAUAAGAUCUACGGAUGAAAGCAGGGGACCGCAAGGCCUUGCGCGAACGGAGCGGCCGAUGGCAGAUUAGGUAGUUGGUGGGAUAAAAGCUUACCAAGCCGACGAUCUGUAGCUGGUCUGAGAGGACGACCAGCCACACUGGGACUGAGACACGGCCCAGACUCCUACGGGAGGCAGCAGUGGGGAAUUUUGGACGAUGGGCGCAAGCCUGAUCCAGCCAUGCCGCGUGCAGGAUGAAGGCCUUCGGGUUGUAAACUGCUUUUGUACGGAACGAAAAGACUCUGGUUAAUACCUGGGGUCCAUGACGGUACCGUAAGAAUAAGCACCGGCUAACUACGUGCCAGCAGCCGCGGUAA